GUCGGGAUGGCGGAAUCGGUAGACGCAUUCGACUUAAAAUCGACCGAGGCAACUCGUGCGGGUUCAAGUCCCGUUCCCGGCA
rnacentral:tRNA from 1 species